GGGCUGCUCAGGCGAACUGACGCCAUGACGGAAAGUUCGCGGUCGCUCCGGAUACUUGAACCUGUUUCAUGAAGACGUUUGGAGGACGAGAGGAAGAAGGAGAGACAAUAAAAGAAGGAACUGGAGUUUCCUGUGAGUUAUAAGGAGGAGCUGCUGAGGCUCUGUGGGAACUAUAGAGGAGUCUUCAGUUGAAAGGGCCUGCAGGAAACACAGAAGAGUCUUCAGGUAACUCCACUAACCAUACCGUCGUCCACAGGGACUUUGGCUCAAGAGUGUUUGUGAACUACAGAAGAACUACAUACAAGAUCCAAAAUGCCAAAAAAAA